GGCUGAGCAGCAGCCAUCGCAAAGAGAAGAGACGGGAGAGGGGGGACAGAGAGAGGAGGAGGAGGAGGAAGGCCAAAGAUGGAGGUAGGAGGAAGGAGAGACAUCGGAGGGACGGCCACCGGGUGAGCGGCGAGUACUGUGGCGAGAGCGUUAACCGGCGGUCCAGAGAGGACCGGAGUCCCAGUGUGGAGAUCAUCUAUGAGGGCACCAUUUCGUGUGACGCCACUCAACCUCCCACCCGCAAACGGCGCCGAAAACGCCAACGCAAGAUCCAGGACAGCUCUCCCGUCAUCAUCACCCUCGACAGCGACAGCAGCCACGAUGGCGCCAACAACAAAAACAUCAACAGCAGCAGCAGCAGUCCUCUCAGCAGCCAGCAGACCGUCGACUUCUCCGACCUCCCCCCUCUCCCACUGGUGCCUUCUGCUGAUGUGGGCGGGGCCUUGGAUGGCGACAUCGGGGAGCUUCCCAUUGACAUCCUGGACCGAGGAUCUGAUGGGUCAGAGGCGGAGCCAACGGGCCAGUUGGAGGUGGCGGGUCCCAUCGCCAUUGAUAACAGUGACAACAGUGAUCGAGAGGUGGAUGUUGAAAAUGUUGAAGAGGCGAAUUCACGGCUGGCGUGGGAUGAAGAUAAAGGGCGGUCCUUUUCAAACCACGGACCAAUCAGAACCGUUGAUAGGAAGACUGCUGAUGAUCCAGAGGGAGGAGUGAGUGUAGAUGGCGGCGCUCAGCAGGCAGGAGGCUGUGAUUCGCACGCCGAAACAACUGAUCCUCAACAGGGAAACACUGAAGUCUUGACAUCUGACAGCCGUCUCCUAGCAACCAUCCUCAGUGACCUGAGGGAAAUCGCCAUUCCUAAAUGCAACCUGUUGAACUUUGAGGCCAGUAAAGAACACGCCAGUCGAGCUCAUCUGGACCAGGGCGACCUGUCCACGGAGACAGGACAUCCCGAUGCUGAUUUGUCCCAGGGGCAACACUGUAAUGAUGUCAAGGACCAAAAUCAGGGGCUGGACUGUCACACUCCCACACCCCCGCCGCCAUCUCUCAGAGUGGAGAGCACGGACGUCCCGCCACUUCUGAAGAAGGCCAGUCCUGUUCGAUCAUACAACAGAAACACACCGCCGCCAUUAAAGCACAAAGAUGCUGGGAGUCCACGCCUGUCGCCUGCAUCCCCCGCCAGCCUCCGCUCACCUGCUGCCUCUGACAUUGACCCAGCUGGUGUAAAUAAUCCCAUUAGCUAUGAUUUUAAACCCACUGUCUCCCUUGUUGACCCCCACCUGUCUCAGUCCAUCCCCCCCAUUUCAUCGCUGAAGAAACACCUGGCCUCCACCAGCCACCAUCAAACCAUCAACAUCCAUCCUUCCUGUCCGCCACGACCCGCCGACUCCCCUGAAGUCAGAGCAUUAACAUCUGAGCCUCCCGCUGACGUCCAUUCAUCUCCCACCAGUCAUGACCGUCUCCCACAGCUGGAUUUCUUCCAUCCUUUAAAUUUCCAUCCCAGAUAUGACAGCAUGAAGAAAACGCCGUCCUGUGCAGUCACCUCUUCGGCCAAUAACUUGCAUCCUGUGAAUUCUUUAUCUGUGGUUGAUUUCCAUUCAGCCCAAAGCGGCUGGUCCAAAGAAAGACCAGCUCAGACGGACUCUACCUCUGGACGCUGCAGGACCAGGACUCACCUGGAUCCCCGUCAGGUCCAUCUUUCUGCUGGAGGCACGGCGGCAGGCAGUUCUGUUUUCUCAGGAGUCGAUGCUAAAGACACAUCAGCUGCUGUUUCGGUGUCACCUCAUGACUCCAGGACUCAGAAUCCUCCCUCACACACUGACUUGCAUCCUAGAAAUCCCAAAUGCACCGUUGCAGCUUCAGAGGGACUGAGAGGUCAGAGGUCACCUCAUAGUUCCCCUCCAUCCAUUGAUUUCCAGCAGAUCAGCCCUUCGCCUCCUGUGAACUUACAUUCAUCUCACUCAGUCACCGCUGCGAUCGACGGACACUUAAACCACACGGCCUUACCUUCCUCUACCUUCCACACGCCAUACAGGAAGUACAGUUCUCAAGCCGAGUCCACCAUUGAAUCCAACGCCGAACGCCACAACCACUUUGAUCCCGGCGCUGAGCCCGUUGACUCCCAGUCAAAAAACUCCUAGAGAGACUUCCGUGAUAAAAUGAGGACAGGUGGGAUGAAGAUGUUUGGACUGUGUUCCACACUUCGCCUCAAAGGACACACAGGAAGACGUGAGGAGGUUUUCAUGGAGAAAAUAUGAUGAAAGAAAACUGCAUUUUUUUAUGAUGUUGUUGUUGAAUUGUUUAUAAAACUAACUGAGUUGAUUUCAGAUCUUCGGUUUUAGCCGUUUGAAUGGAAUGAAAACUUUGUUUGAACUAUUUAUAUGUAUAAUUGGACUUUUUGACCGACACAUUUAAAUAUAAAACCCACCGACACCAGCAGGUGGAACAAACAGAGGUCACGUCUCCAUUUUUCACAAGUUUCCUGGGAAACCUGAAGCCCCGCCCCCUGUCUGUCACCACAGCUCGGUCAUUUGUACAGUCAGUCGCUUUAGCCCCAAACUGAACAGGAGUUUAAGAGCUGGAUCAAAGCAUCAGAUGGAUUCUCUUUAUUCACAGCGUCGUCAGAGAACAGAACGUGACACCUUUUAUACUAAAGUCAGGCUUCAUCCCAUUUACCAGACCUUUUAGGCAACACUUCUUAAAUUCACUAAUCUUGAACUUUGACAAUGAUAGUUACACAACACUGUGUGUGGGUGGGGGUGCUGCUGACCUGGCUCUCACGGAGAACCCCAGGGCCCCCUGAAAGUGACAGAAAUAAGAAUAAAUUGAAAAUGGAUGUGUUGACGUGAUCUGUUGGAAAGAACCUGACGGGUUAAAGAAUAAAACUGCUGAGAAAGUUCACUAACAGCAAAGUGUUUGUUUCUCAUUCAUAAAUGUUCACUGGUUCAGACUGAGGGAACUGCAGUUCCAGUUUGUCACCAGCAGAUGGAGCUGGGCCUCCUCCACCCCCCCCACCCAGAGGAGGAG
ensembl:lncRNA